GGCGGACAGCGACGGAGGAGUGAGACUGUGACUGAGCAGGAUAACAAAGUUUAUUAAAAGUUUAAUUAUUUGUUUAGUCGAAUUAUUGUGAGCCUCGUACAUAAAUCACAUGUCUUUUUGUUUCCUCGAGCGGCGUGAAACCUUUUUUUGGAGCUGUUUAUUUUGUAGACUUAGAAAGAGCUAGUUAGCUAGCUAGCGCUUGGCUAGCGGAGGCUCUGAGUUGUUUUUGUUUGUCGUCGCUGCUGCUGCUGCAUGAAGAGGGGCUCAGGACUGUGUUGCUGGUCAGACAGAGCUGGAUGUGUGCCGCACACGGACGAGGCUUGGGACGGAUGUUCUUCAGUGUACGGUUCGCUUCGGGACCAAGGGGAGCUACGGUGGCUAUACGAGCACCUGUGGUGGUGACUGCUUGAACGACCAGCAGCACGAGUUAAAGACAGGAGAAAAGAAGCAAACUUCUCCACUAAGAAGAGGAGACAGUAAGCCACCUGUACUCAAACCAACAGCAGGAACACAGAGAGUGUGUGAUUCUCUCUCCUUCUCCUUUGUCUCUCUGCUUGACUGUCUAUCCACAGGCUGUCCUUCUGUUUGUCUGCAGGAUGCAAAGACAGCAUUUUGGUGAAUAAAAUGCUGAAGGAAUCCUGAGGAGUUGUUAGAGAAAAGAGGAGAAAAAAACAGAAACAUUUGCAAGCUUCUGAAAGAAAAAGGGAGGAGAGAGCAGUAUGACUCAGAGCACAGCAGCUACAGUGCUGUGCAUUCUGCAUUCAAGAGGAGAGGUGGAGGGAGAUGGAGAAACAAUGAGGAGGAUAUAAAGAGAAAAAUAGAGAGGACUUGACCAGAAUUGAGUUGUCAUUACACAGAGGAAGGACAGAAGUGAAUGAGUGAGAUAUAGGCCAAGUGAAUCAGCUUGCUAGGGGGAGAGGGAGGUGAGAAGAGGGUUUAGAAAGUGCUGGAUUUAGUAUGACUGAAGUCAGUUGAGUGAAGGUUGAAUGAAGGUUUGCUGCAGGGGGGACAGUGGAUCAAGAACUGCAAAGGACAGGAGGACAUACUCGAGCUCCUACAGGGGAGGAAGUUCAGAGUGACUGUCCUUUUGCUUCGGGGAGGAAAGAUGACUGAACUAUGGGAGAAGAAGCUACAAGAAGGUUAACCACAGGAGAGGAGGAAAAUGCUAGGAAGCAGAAAGGCCAGAGCAGAGGCUGAAAAGGAAACUACAGACCGGAGAACAUGACAUCCAACACACAAACCACGGUGACAUGGAAACUUUAGCUGUGACAGCAACACAGCAAGAGGUUCCUGUUAAAUAUUGAUGCUGACAGGCCACUCUGGAAAUAACUCGCUUCUCGUACCACAGAGGGGAAAACACAAGAAACGUGCCUGAUUUUUUAUUCUAGAAGAUUUUUACACCGGAAUAGACAAGCUGUUAAGUGUGUCACAUGACAGCUGAGCACGGUGAAGUAGAGAUGUGGGCGCAAACUAAGACAAGACCCAUGUAUUAGCUGAGGCUUAGCUUUCUGGUGUGUAAUGACUUCAGAGAAAAGAGCUGGACCUUUAGAGGAAGGAGAUCAAUAUCUGAAACCUCAUGAGGACAAUUUCUUCAGUUCUGCGAGAAGAAUAAACACUUGUGUGUCAGCCUGACA
rnacentral:lncRNA from 1 species